rnacentral:rRNA from 1 species
CCCUUAGAUGUCCUGGGCCGCACGCGCGCUACACUGAUGCAUGCAACGAGUUUAUAACCUCGGCCUGAAAGGUCUGGGUAAUCUUUUGAACGUGCAUCGUGAUAGGGAUAGAUUAUUGCAAUUGUUAAUCUUGAACGAGGAAUUCCUAGUAAACGCGAGUCAUCAGCUCGCAUUGAUUACGUCCCUGCCCUUUGUACACACCGCCCGUCGCACCUACCGAUUGAAUGGUUCGGUGAAGAUCUCGGACUUCGAUAUUUAUUCUUUAUUGAGUUUAUAUUGUGGGAAGUUAUCUAAACCUCAUCAUUUAGAGGAAGGUGAAGUCGUAACA